GUUUUUAUAGUUUAAAUUUAAAACAUUGGUCUUGUAAAUCAAAAAUAAGAUUUUAUUUUUAAAAACA
rnacentral:tRNA from 1 species